AUGCAAAAAGGUAAACUCUUUGUUUCAAAAUGUGAUAAGCUCACACUUUUUAGUGUUUAUCCUUGGCCAACAAGACACUCACGAUUUCUCAUUUGUUGCACCGCCAUAUUCCUUCAAAUGGGAACUUCUUCUUUUGACGGACAGAAGAAUACACAGAGCACCUGUUUUUGUUCUUUCAAUUUGCGAGAAAAGUUUGGCAUGAGUGGGUCAUCGAUUUUUUGCAGAGGGAUGCACCCAUUGAAGCAACUGCUUUGGUGGUUACUAUUUCGCACAUAUGGGAGGCGAGAAAUUGUUGGGAAAUGUUGCAUGGAAAACAAAAAAAAUCUACGCACACGCAAGAUCUAUCCAUGGAGAUGCAUAGCUACGAGAGGGGGAGAACAUCUACAUACCCUUGUAGACCGCUAA
rnacentral:rRNA from 1 species